rnacentral:rRNA from 1 species
GCAGUCGCCGCGGGAAUACGAAGGGUGCAAGCGUUACUCGGAAUUACUGGGCGUAAAGCGUGCGUAGGUGGUGGUUUAAGUCCGUUGUGAAAGCCCUGGGCUCAACCUGGGAAUUGCAGUGGAUACUGGGUCACUAGAGUGUGGUAGAGGAUAGUGGAAUUUCCGGUGUAGCAGUGAAAUGCGUAGAGAUCGGAAGGAACAUCUGUGGCGAAGGCGACUAUCUGGGCCAACACUGACACUGAGGCACGAAAGCGUGGGGAGCAAACAGGAUUAGAUACCCCGGUAGUCCCUGUCUCUUAUAC